rnacentral:lncRNA from 1 species
UUCACUAUGAAAAAGAAAAUUUUACAAGAGGAGACCUCACCCUCAACCCUUGUACACCCAAUUCUCUCUCACUAGAAGUUUCCCUCACAAAAGCUCUCUCUCUCUUGGAAGACCCCCCUGAACCUCUGAAGUGCCUGGCGACCGCUGUCCAGGAGCCUCCUGCUCCUUCUCUCUCAGCGCUUCCGCCUCUCCCUUCUUCAUCUUCUCGGGUUUCGUGCGGCCUCAGCAGAAAAAACUGAACCACCUCCCCCUCUGUUUCACGCACAGGCCCUUUUAAAGGGUUAAAAAUUUGAUUAGAGAAGGAUUAGGAGUCCUAAACAAAGCCAGAUAACCCCUGGACCGUCGGAUCAAGACCGGGAGCCACCCACGCCC